rnacentral:rRNA from 1 species
UAAAUCCCCCAUCAGAGCGGACGAGACUCCAGCAGCACAUAUAUUUUUGUUUUUCACGUACUUCGCGCGGUCAGCGUACCGUCGUGCCUCUCUCUCGUGUCAUGCGUUCGGCUUUCGGUCGCGCUCCUCCGCGAGACAGCCAGGCGAGCCGAGCGGAGUUGCCGUCUCACCCUCGAGGCCCUGAGCUGUGCCGGUUUGCGCGACUGUGCAAGCUGAUAGCCGCACGCUGUCGCAAGCUGUGACAGAGAGAGCGAGCACGUUUUGUUGUGCCGCGCGCGUGAGCAGCGCAAGCUUAUCUGUUGAAAGCAACAAGUAAAUCUCGCUGCGCUGCGCGGGUAGGUCGGUGGUUUUCUCUGUCUACCUAUCUGCGCAAUGUGCUUGCGAGUCCGCAAGCGAGCGCUGGCGCUUGUUCGCGCUAGCGCUCGUCAGACCAAAUCAAAAUAUUUGCUGGGAGUCGGUCCGCACCAGGCCCUUAGCAUAGGCACCUGG